rnacentral:misc_RNA from 1 species
GAUGAAGAACGUAGUGAAAUGCGAUAACUAAUGUGAAUUGCAGAAUUCAGUGAAUCAUCGAGUCUUUGAACGCACAUUGCGCCCCCUGGUAUUCCGGGGGGCAUGCCUGUCCGAGCGUCAUUGCUGCCCUCAAGCACGGCUUGUGUGUUGGGCUCCGUCCCCCCGGGGACGGGCCCGAAAGGCAGCGGCGGCACCGAGUCCGGUCCUCGAGCGUAUGGGGCUUUGUCACCCGCUCUGUAGGCCCGGCCGGCGCCAGCCGACAACCCAUCAUCCUUUUCAGGUUGACCUCGGAUCAGGUAGGGAUACCCGCUGAACUUAAGCAUAUCAAUAGGCGGAGGA